ensembl:snRNA U6 U6 spliceosomal RNA
GUACUUGCUUUGGCAGCACAUAUAGUAAAAAUUUGAACAAUACAGAGAAGAUUAGCAUGGCCCCUGUGCAAGGAUGACACACAAAUUCGUGAAACGUUCCAUAUUUUU